UCUGUAGCUCAGCUGGAUAGAGCAUCGGCCUUCUAAGCCGAGGGUCGGGGGUUCGAAUCCCUUCAGGC
rnacentral:tRNA from 1 species